GGGCCUGUAGCUCAAUUGGCAGAGCAGUACCCUCUUAAGGUAACGGUUGAAGGUUCGAGUCCUUCCAGGCUCA
rnacentral:tRNA from 1 species